rnacentral:tRNA from 3 species
GGACGAUUAGCUCAGUUGGUUAGAGCGCUUGCAUGACACGCAAGAGGUCACUGGUUCAAAUCCAGUAUCGUCCACAA